AAAAGAAUAAAUGAUAAUAACAAAUUAUAACUUUACAUAUCCCUUUAUGAGUUCUCACACUAGCAAAAAGGCCAAGAAAGAAAAAGUUCAGGGCUUUCAUGUUUCAAGAACGGAACGAAAUAAACUUUAUCCUUCCAUCCUUCAAAAGAGAAGAAUUCAGAGAUAAGUUGUGCAGGGAAGUACACUUUCCACGCAUAAAAAUCUCUAACAGAAGAAGUGGGAAAAAAAAAUCCGCAACUUUCAAUCUCUUCAUGAAACUAAUUAAUUAACUAGUGGAACAUGGUCAGUGUUAACCCUAAAGGCCUGAACCAGAAAAUUCACAAUUAUACAUAGAAAAAUAAGGUAACACAAAAAAAAAAAAAAAG
rnacentral:misc_RNA from 1 species